rnacentral:rRNA from 1 species
UGAGUAACCUGCCCCUGACUCUGGGAUAACUGCUGGAAACGGUGGCUAAUACUGGAUAUGAAGCCUUGCCGCAUGGUGGGGUUUGGAAAGAUUUUUUCGGUCAGGGAUGGACUCGCGGCCUAUCAGCUUGUUGGUGGGGUGAUGGCUCACCAAGGCGACGACGGGUAGCCGGCCUGAGAGGGCGACCGGCCACACUGGGACUGAGACACGGCCCAGACUCCGUACGGGAGCAGCAG